UACGGAAGGCAGCAGUGGGGAAUAUUGCACAAUGGGCGCAAGCCUGAUGCAGCCAUGCCGCGUGUAUGAAAAAGGCCUUCGGGUUGUAAAGUACCUUCAGUCGUGAGGAAGGUGUUAAGGUUAAUAACCUUAGCAAUUGACGUUAGCGACAGAAGAAGCACCGGCUAACUCCGUGCCAGCAGCCGCGGUAAUACGGAGGGUGCGAGCGUUAAUCGGAAUUACUGGGCGUAAAGGGCACGCAGGCGGUUAAUUAAGUUGGAUGUGAAAUCCCCGGGCUUAACCUGGGAAUGGCAUUCAAGACUGGUUAGCUAGAGUCUUGUAGAGGGGGUAGAAUUCCAUGUGUAGCGGUGAAAUGCGUAGAGAUGUGGAGGAAUACCGGUGGCGAAGGCGGCCCCUGGACAAAGACUGACGCUCAUGUGCGAAAGCGUGGGGAGCAAACGAGGGAUUAGAUACCCGU
rnacentral:rRNA from 1 species